UCUUCUCCAUCUGAAGCCACACCUGCAGCAUUGAUAAUAGAAAAAAAGAGACACAGCUUCAAGGUAUGCUUAAACCUCCAAAGACUGAGUUUUGGGGGGCAGCGGAAACAAGUUGUGAACACAACCCUAAUAUAGCAAACUGUUACUUAUUUACAUCCAGCAGUUACAACAUUAUCAUUAAUUUGGAGUCUUGUUUCACCUGAUAAAUCCUGUUUGGCCUCUUAACAUGGUUGACAUAAGGAGGAGGAGGAAGGGCAUCUGACUGGGCGCUGUUGCAGUCCAUUGACUGUUUUCUUCAGAGGGAAAGGUCAGAGGAUACAGUACGGUGGGACACCUGCUGAAGCAACUUCAUGCAAAUAAGUCUCCUGUCCUGCAGAAGAGAAAAGGUGGGAAACCAAAUUGGAUCGAAUGUAAUUCAGUUCACCAAGCAGGGAAUGAAUCGAUAAUGCUGAGGAAUGGCUUUCAGAGGACUGAGUGCCCACCUUAGAGAAUUCCAGCCACUAUCAAGUGAGAGGAUACCCUGGCAAAGCAACUGCUGGAAUGCCUACAGUAUGAGAGAUUCCAUAAUAGGAGGUAGAAGAAGGAUAAACAGAAAAAGCAUGGAGCACCCAAGGCUUUAUCAUGGGUUUGGUGUUGUGUGUAAAUACCUAACUGACUUUAAAGUGGAGAUCUGUCAAACUACAAACUUCCUGCAAAUUUGCUGUCUCUUCAUUUAUUAUCUCCU